AAUUGUUAUAACCUUUUAGAAUUGAAGAAAAGGGAAGAGGUUUUGUCGUCAGAAGAGUCGGAGAUGACUCGAUCAAGAUCAUGUGGAUCAAAGAAAACUGUAGAAAAAAUGCUGCUUCAGUUAAUGGAACUGCAAAAAGAUACCUUACUACGUGUGAAGCAAUUAGAAGAAGAUAAAGAUACAGUAACGUUAUCUUCACAAGCCACAAAGG